rnacentral:rRNA from 1 species
UACGGAGGGGGCUAGCGUUGUUCGGAAUUACUGGGCGUAAAGCGCACGUAGGCGGCUUUGUAAGUUAGAGGUGAAAGCCCAGGGCUCAACCCUGGAAUUGCCUUUAAGACUGCAUCGCUAGAAUUGUGGAGAGGUAAGUGGAAUUCCGAGUGUAGAGGUGAAAUUCGUAGAUAUUCGGAAAGAACACAGUGCGAAGGCGACUUACUGGACACAUAUUGACGCUGAGGUGCGAAAGCGUGGGGAGCAAACAGG